UUUUUUUUUUUUUUUUAAAGAUGCCACAUAUAGGGGAUAUGAUAACAUGUUUGUCUUUCACGUGGACAGUGAAACUUUAGAGUAAAGCUUCCCAAAUGUUUUCAAGCCGUAGCAUAUGUAGAGAAUGAACAUGCGGGUGUGGUAGCCUGGGGUAAACAGUUCGAUCAAGGCCAGCGGCGAUAGAUAAGAUAUCCCAGUUUUCCCCACCGGGCCAAACCCCCUUAAGAACUAGACCAUAGGUAUAUUAGGAAAAGGCAUCUGGUCUGGGGAUUUCAGCCCCAUUUUUCCCUUGAAGCAGAAUGAUGCCCUUAUUCUGUGUGCACAACCUGGGCAGCUGUCUUCAGGAUCCUGCUAAGGCAUGAGGGAUCAAUUUCUGGGCACCCACAUCUCCAGCCAUGACAUACAGGCGAGGAAGCUCUGAGCUAGAAUUUUCAAGCUUUUGUUGUCUUUCUUCCUUUACUUCAUUGCUCCUCUUCACUGCCUUCUGCUAAGCACAGCCUGCCCUGUGGCCUCCUAAGCAGUAAGUUAGGCUGGGGGUUCUUGCUGCAUCAGCAUCACUUGGAUCUUGUUCGAGAUGCAAAUUCUUGGACCCUAGUAACCCAAACCUACUGAGUCAGAAAUUCUGGGCUGGGGCCCAGUGAUAUCUGUGUUUAACAAGCCCUCCAAGUGAUGCUGAUGCUCUCUAGGCACAAAAGUAAUAAUAAUAUUAACAACAAUGCUUUUCACUUCUGGAAUGCUUCCUCUGAUGGCUCACUUGCUAGAUGAUGGCAGCCAAUCCUGUGAGGGGGUCAUAAAGAAGAGGAAACUGAGGCAUAGAGAUGAGUGAUUUAGCCAGGCCACACAGCUAAAGUAUAGCAGGAAAGAGACAGUGUUUGAACUGAGUUCUCUCAAUUCCCACAAUUGCUUAGUCACAUGACUUUCUUCUACAUCUUCAGUAUUCCGGAGAGCUUGAAGAUCCUGGUUUUAAAAUAUGCUGUCCUAAUCUCUCUUUCUGUCCCUUGUACCACUCAAUCUGUGCCUCCCAAACGUGCCAGUCCUAUAUGAGGCACUGGGGCUACAGAGAUAAAUAAGAUUCUGUCCCUUCUCUCUCUUUCUCUCUCUUUUUUUUGUCCCUUUUCUAGAGCUACUCCCUUGGCAUAUGGAGGUUCCCAGGCUAGGGAAAAAAAAAAUACAUUUGCAGUGGUUGCUGAAGCCCUCUCUCCUAGCUUGGCUGGGGUUGAUUUGCAGCAAAAUCAGAGUUAAUGGUGAGUGAGUCUGUGUGUGUGGUAGGGUGAGGGGGCAGGGGUUAGGUAAAGAAAUCAAAUUAUUGUAUCACUCAAAGUCACAAAGAAAUAGUGUGUGUGUUGGUGGGAGUGUGGUUUGGAUUCAGAAAACUCAUGGUUGGAUCUUUUAUUCAGGCUGACUCUGUACGCAGGUUCAGUUCUUGGUAAAAAAGCACAGCUGGUUUGGUGCCAGGCACCUACCAAGGAACUUCAUUUUUUCUUGUGACUGUCCCUGUAAACUGCUAGCUUGACUCUUCUCUCCCUGCCACCUUGGAUGAAAUCUUUGAGAGGCAGAAAUUUGGCCAUCAUUUCUUUGGUCACUCAUCUUACAUAACAACAAAGCUUCCCCAGACACUCAUGUUUCCAUGAAUAGUCUCAUUUCCAUAAUAAAAAUUCCAGUCUGGGAGUUCCCGUUAUGGCGCAGAAGGAAUGAAUCUGACUAGGAACCAUGAGGUUGCGGGUUCGAUCCCUGGCCUCGCUCAGUGGAUUAGGGAUCCCACAUUGCUGUAGCUGUGGUGUAGACUGGCAGCUGUAGCUCUGAUUGGACCCCUAGCCUGGAUCCUCCAUAUGCUAAGGGUGCAGCCUUAAAAAGCAAAAAAAAAAAAAAAAAAAAAAAAAAAAAAAAUUCCAGUCUGGGUAAUUGAAGGGUCUGGGUCAUAAAUUCCCAAUUUUAUUCAAAGUGAAACUAUGUCUUCUCCCCGAGGUUAGGGCCUGCUUAGGGCCCCAGCUCUGGUUUUCUUUGGUUCCUCCAGGUAACAUGGAGGAUGGAGCUUGGAAAAGCUCAUCUUUCCACGGUUCCUGGUACCCAUGGUCUCUGGCUUUGGUUCCUCCUGGCUAUGGCCAAGGGUUAAGCCAGAGUCUUUCUCUCUUAAAGGGUAUCCUGUGGGUCCCUGGAAACCCUUAUCAUUGGAGGUCUCCCAACGGCAGUUCCUGUAAGGCACAGAGUGUCUCUGCUUCAUUUCUUGUAGACUCACCAUGGGGGUCAUUGCACGUGGGUGGCUUUUCUGAAUAAAGCUUUUCGCAUUUCCGUGGGAAGUGAUACUGUGUCCUCAGUCCCACCCCGCGGCUGGAGUGCUGGCCAUUCCCAGUUCAGCGCCCCUCCUCUCUUCUUUCCUCAGCCCCGCCUCUUCUUGACCAUUGACCUCUGGGCGAGGGGACAAACACCCACCUGGUGUGUUCUCCCAAAGUCCAGGGACAAAGACCAAGCUCUCCAAGUUGCCCUCUUUAGGGCUCAGAAGAGAAGGAAGUAAUCCCAUCUCCUGCCUUGAGGCGGGGCCAGGAUAAACACUGCAUUCCAGCUUUUCCCAAGAAAGUCUUUCCUCUCAGCCUCGUCAGUCUCGACACUUUUAUACCUUCAAG
rnacentral:lncRNA from 1 species